AUACGUAGGGUGCAAGCGUUAAUCGGAAUUACUGGGCGUAAAGCGUGCGCAGGCGGUUUUGUAAGACAGAGGUGAAAUCCCCGGGCUCAACCUGGGAACUGCCUUUGUGACUGCAAGGCUAGAGUACGGCAGAGGGGGAUGGAAUUCCGCGUGUAGCAGCGAAAUGCGUAGAUAUGCGGAGGAACACCGAUGGCGAAGGCAAUCCCCGGGGCCUGUACUGACGCUCAUGCACGAAAGCGUGGAGAGCAAACAGGAUUAGAUACCCUUGUAGUCCACGCCCUAAACGAUGUCAACUGGUUGUUGGGUCUUCAUUGACUCAGUAACGAAGCUAACGCGUGAAGUUGACCGCCUGGGGAGUACGGCCGCAAGGUUGAAACUCAAAUGAAUUGGCGGGG
rnacentral:rRNA from 1 species